rnacentral:rRNA from 1 species
UGGGGAAUAUUGCACAAUGGGCGAAAGCCUGAUGCAGCGACGCCGCGUGAGGGAUGACGGCCUUCGGGUUGUAAACCUCUUUCAGCAGGGACGAAGCGCAAGUGACGGUACCUGCAGAAGAAGCACCGGCUAACUACGUGCCAGCAGCCGCGGUAAUACGUAGGGUGCAAGCGUUGUCCGGAAUUACUGGGCGUAAAGAGUUCGUAGGCGGUUUGUCGCGUCGUUUGUGAAAACCAGCAGCUCAACUGCUGGCUUGCAGGCGAUACGGGCAGACUUGAGUACUGCAGGGGAGGCUGGAAUUCCUGGUGUGGCGGUGAAAUGCGCAGAUAUCAGGAGGAACACCGGUGGCGAAGGCGGGUCUCUGGGCAGUAACUGACGCUGAGGAACGAAAGCGUGGGUAGCGAACAGG